rnacentral:rRNA from 1 species
AAGCGCUUAUGACCAGACUUGGGCCCGGUGGAUCAUCCAGCGUUCUCGCUGGUGCACUUCGCCGGGCUCAGGCCAGCAUCAGUUUGCCCCGGGGGAUAAAGGCUCUGGGAAUGUGGCUCCUCCGGGAGUGUUAUAGCCCGCUGCGCAAUACCCUGGGGCGGACUGAGGUUCGCGCAUCUGCAAGGAUGCUGGCGUAAUGGUCAUCAGCGA